rnacentral:rRNA from 1 species
UACAUAGGGUGCAAGCGUUGUCCGGAAUUACUGGGCGUAAAGAGCGUGUAGGCGGCUUUUUAAGUCGUAACCUUAAAUACAGGGGCUCAACCCCUGUCAGGGUUCGAUACUGAUAAGCUAGAGAUUGGGAGAGGAAAGUGGAACUCACAGUGUAGCGGUGAAAUGCGUAGAUAUUGUGAGGAACACCCGUGGCGAAGGCGACUUUCUGGACCAUUUCUGACGCUGAGACGCGAAAGCGUGGGGAGCAAACAGG